rfam:Schistosoma rodhaini strain Burundi genome assembly, scaffold: SROB_scaffold0009634
AUCCAGCUGAUCAGUUCCAAAUAGGACGAAACACACUUCCCAGAU